rnacentral:rRNA from 1 species
AGUGAACGCUGGCGGUAGGCCUAACACAUGCAAGUCGAACGGCAGCACAGUAAGAGCUUGCUCUUACGGGUGGCGAGUGGCGGACGGGUGAGGAAUACAUCGGAAUCUACUUUUUCGUGGGGGAUAACGUAGGGAAACUUACGCUAAUACCGCAUACGACCUACGGGUGAAAUCAGGGGAUCUUCGGACCUUGCGCGAUUGAAUGAGCCGAUGUCGGAUUAGCUAGUUGGCGGGGUAAAGGCCCACCAAGGCGACGAUCCGUAGCUGGUCUGAGAGGAUGAUCAGACACACUGGAACUGAGACACGGUCCAGACUCCUACGGGAGGCAGCAGUGGGGAAUAUUGGACAAUGGGCGCAAGCCUGAUCCAGCCAUACCGCGUGGGUGAAGAAGGCCUUCGGGUUGUAAAGCCCUUUUGUUGGGAAAGAAAAGCAGCAGGUUAAUACCCCGCUGUUCUGACGGUACAAAAAGAAUAAGCACCGGCUAACUUCGUG